UUUAAAAGGGAGACGGAUUGAUUGGUGACACCACACACCUGCUCGUCUUCACGUAGGUGUUUUUCAAUCAGCUGAUGACCGCUGAUUGCUUCCUCCUCUCCCUCAUAUUUAAUCUUCAUCCAGCCAACAGUUCCGCGAUGUUACUUUGAAGAGAAGCUGCACGAGCUGUGGAACGAAAAAAAAGACGCAAAAAAAGUGCCGCUGCUUAACUACUGAAACUGUUCCGGGGAGGGAACAGUUGUGGGAGAACUUACCGCCGGGAGAACUUGUGGCGGUAAUGCACCAACCGCCAUAAAAUCUCAAAAAAGAAGGAGGGAACUUUAAAAAAAGAAGAGAAAAAAAGAGAAAACUACCGUGGCGUGACGUCAGACGCCGAAAAGGUGGUCGUGCAUCAGCUCCUGUAUAGAACCGCAGCAAGGCCGCUCCAGGAUGGCGUGUUCGACCUGGUCCAGAUUGGUGGCCUGUCCAGAAUGGAACAACCUGCUUCCUGCUCAAGGAGACCUGGUCGGACCCGCCAUAUACAAAAGUCUGAGGCUGUCAAAAAAAGAUUGAACUUCAAGAAGAUCGUCAAAUAGUAGGUGUCCUGAUUAAAUUCUGGGUGGCCGCUGUGUCCCCACUCUUUCUUCGCUGCUGUGCCUACAUCUCUCUGCAUUGUCCAACAUGACCACGCUCUUUCUAUUCUCCUGCUUUCCGUCUGUCAAAUAGCUGAGGGUUGUACAUGGAGCAUUUGCCACAGGUUGGUUUUGUAUAUUCCUGUCCACUUUAUUGGUGGUCUGAAAUCUGGUCCGUGUUGGUUAUAUUUUUGUGGAACUGCUGAGCGAGUGAUUUGAAGAAGUAGGUGACUGAUGAAGUUUUUGAAAUUCUCUCUCUGAAUGAGUGGGUUGUGUGUGACUAAAAUGCCUGGAUUGAAUAGUUAAGAUAGUCUUAGAAUAUGAUUAUGUUCAGCAGUUCACAUUACAGUUGAUAUGGUGAAAAAUUAAUGUUGUGCCUUGUACACUCUGUCACAAGGCUUAGACUUCUUGGCCUCUGUGCCUUUUUUUUUUUCUUUUUUCUUUUUUCCUUCGUGGUCAUUAAUCUACCGUUAGCCCUCGAAUGUUAAAGUAGAUCCUGGUCAUUUACAAACACUGUACCUGGCUUUGGAUGGCAGUGGUGCCAUUGCCUUUGUAUGGCCAUACGUCCCUUAAUGCAAGUAGGCCAUGAUUGCUAACUGUGCCCGCGCCUUCGUAGCCUACUUGUGUUAUUGUACGUCUGGCCUUGCGCGUAUAGUCAUUUUACAUAGGCAAACAUGGGUGCCUUCCGCGUCCAUGCACAGUAAGUGAACUAACCUGUACUUUCCUUCUAGCAUCAGUCAAGAGGAGCACCGACAUCCCUGCAUGUCCAUCUUAAUUAGAUUGCGUUUUAGUUGCGUUAAAAUUUCAAAUGGAAAAUGCAGAUUUUCUUUCUUGCUUGGCCGCCGUGCCAUUACUAUACCUGCAUCUUGAUCUUCAUGGCCACUGUGUCAUGACUGUACUUCGUCUUGGUGUUUAUGCCAGUCUAUCAUUUCUGAUCAGUUUUUACUACUAGGUUUUCCUGGUUGAGUGUGUGUGUGUGGGAUGACUGACGGACUGACCUUUGGACCAAGACUAACACUCCAAUUGACUUUACUGCACCAGAAAGGUGAACAAAAUUUAUGCUGCAAGACUGGCAAGAUGCACACCAAUUAGACAUCAAGCAAAUUCAAAUUAUUUCAAAAACAGGUAAAAUGUUUACCUUUCAGGUAAGUAUUAAAGGCCUUUGCCACAUGAUCCUUGUGGGUAAAUCGUGUCCACUCAAUUUAUAAAGUUAAUUUGCAUCUAAACAUUUACAAUGCCUGACACAUUUUUUUGUUUUGCGUUAUUGAGUGCAAAGGCCUUUAUUUACACACUGACGCAUGCCAAGACUGCCGUCAUGGCCUCUCUCUCUCUCUCUCUCUCUCUCUCUCUCUCUCUCUCUCUCUCUCUCUCUGUCUCUGUCUCUGUCUGUCCUGUGUGUCGGAUUUAGUCACAUUUUGGUCUCAACUUAAGUGGAUGAUUUUAAAGUUGAUUAGUCUUGAGGCGUCUGAUUUCAGCAGGAAAUUCUGGUACCUUAUUUUGAAAUGGCUUUAAAAUGUAAUAUUGGUCUUGAAUCUCAGGUAUCAUAGUUGCAACUUGGACUGUUGACAAACGUGGAAGCUGAUGUAUCAUGUAGUAAAUGCAUCAGUUUACUGUAGCUUGUUUAAAGUUCUUUCAAAGUGCUGUAAAAAUUUAGUAAUUGAUUAUGAUGAGCUGGACCAGGUCUUCCUUUAUUCUCAACUGGUAAUUGCUUUGAUAAGAUAACUGGUUCCUGAUUUGAUUAUGAAGCUAAACAUUUGAUUUAUAUGCAAGUGUAGUCACAUUAGAUUGUAGGUGUUAUUCAGCCCAUGGAUAAUGUUAUGAUAUACUUUAAAUCUGGCAUUUUUUGGCACACUUUUGAUAUCCAUUUAAGUCUUAAACUUUACGCACUGCCAUCAGCCUUUGUAGUCGCUAACUGAAAUCGAAUUCAAUAUUAAUGCUGACUUGUCUCACGCUGCCAAGUUUAUUUCCCUCUAAAGGAGUUGAACCUGUUUGUGUUCAUAGUCUUUUUGUGCGUCAUGUUGGGAGGCCUCCCAGCAGGGGAUUUUUAUCUUCCCCUGCAAAACUAUACGUUACUCGCCUUAGGGAUGCAGGGCUAUCUUGCAUAGUUUCUUUCAUAAAUUAGAUUGUAGGUUGCAGGAUUAGAGCGCGUUUCUUUUCUUUAGGAGGACACAAACCUGGCAGAGAGACAACUCGGAUUGUUUAAGUGAAAGUUGCGCCAAAUGUUCGAACUUUUUAUCUUUCAUUACGAUGACUUGAAAUAAAGCUUUUAUUCUGUGGGCUGAAUUAAGACAGAAAUCAGACAUAAUUUGGUUUAAUGUUAAAGACUUCUGUGCAAGUACCCUCUUUGUAGCAGGAGUGAGCAGCUGCAGCUUUUUAAUGUAUUUUUCUUUAUUUGAUUUGUUUCUUGGAUUGACUUGGUGUCUGGAGCUUUGUAGUUAACAGUGAUCAUGUAAACGUGGUCUUUUGCCUCUUAUUUUUGCGAAGCUGGCAGCUGGUUGAAAUGAUAGGACUUUAUGGCUUGCCCAAAGUGGGAUUUUUGAUAGAUCAUAGGGUUAACACCUCACCAUAUACUAGCUAUUUCAGCGAACAAGUGUCUGUAGUCUUAUUACCCAUGACUUUCUUUCAAAUUUCACAAUUUAGGCAGCUUGUAGUCAUUAGGAAGAUGCUUAAUCCCAAUCUUGGUUAGUUGGUUGCAUGAGAAACUGCUAUCUCUUAGAUGUGUUGGCGAAGUUCCUCCUCUGAUUUUUGUAGUCUUGCCCUAAAGUUUCUCUCUGCUUUAACUCUUGCUGAGCUAUGCAUUAAAUGAUUCCUCCAACUUGUCUUCAUAUAAAUUUUUUUCUCCCUGCAGCCUUCCACCACCCACUGCUGCUGUUUCAUCUGCUAAAGGUAGCCGUAUCCUGAUUCACUGCGUCUUCAUGUGUUGGGUAAGAAGUAUCAUUAGACUACUAACAAUGUAAACACCUUUUAAAUGCUUGAUCUAAUUUACCCAAAUGGUUCAUCAGUUUAGGACAGAAAAUCAUUGAAUUUGACAUUCUUGGGGUCAGUAACCUGACCUCUAAAUGUUUGGGAAACCAUGCAAAAGAUCGCAAGCUCUCUGCAUGACCCAACAGCAUUGAUGUUUGAGUUAUUUAAUUGCUCAAUUUUUAAAUCAGUCAAGAUUUUAUGAGCUGGGUCUUCUUCACACAACAGAGAACAAGGUAAAUUGAGUCGACUCGUAACAUGGUAAGGCAUUUUGUCUUUCCCCUUCUUCUCUGUGUGUGUGAGGAAAUCUGGCCACAGAUCCUGACUGAGUGGCAUACCAUGGCUGUGCAGUUUCCAAAAUCAGAUAAGGAUCCAUCUGAUUUUGUGACUCUGCCUGUCAUGAUAUGCAUGUAUCUUCCUCCGAAACAAAGGAUUGGAAUGGACAGUUUGUAGUGUAAAUCACAUCACAUCACUUGUAGAUGGUGAAGCAUUUGUUUAAAUUGGGGUCAAGCAUUUUAAGGUGUCUGCUUUGUCAAUACUCUGGUGCCACAUCUUGCUAAACACACGAGAAGCUCUGAAUUGUGAAACUGCUGCCUCUUGCAGAUGUUACAACAGCAAUGGCUGUUGAAAGGCUGCAGGGAGAGAAAAUGAGAUCUGAGGACAGGAAAGUGGAAUUUAUUUCAUGCUUAGCAAAAUGAGGGUUUCAGCAGAGGAACUUUUUGUGGCAAGGCUAUAGAAUCAGAAGGAACGUUUGUCUGGGCAACUGGGAAUUUACAGUUUUCCAUUCAGCCAACCAAGGCAUUGGGGUUAGCAUCAUCCCAAAUGGCUGACAAAGAUUGCUUGUAACUGUCAGUGUAGGACAGGAAAGGCAGGUAUAGGUUAGGGAGGGCAUCCAUCGGUGAGCUCUGACUGGAUGUGAGGACCUGUCACACUUGACCAGAGAUGAAGGCUGCAGCACGUUCCUGGAUCAGAGGACUCCAUGUUGGACACCACGAUCUGGAGAAGUCCCGUCCCGGAUGACUGCGGUGAUGACCUAGCCCAAGAUGAACCGACCCUUCUAUGACGAGGACUUCGCCCAAGAUGAACCGACCCAUCUACAACGAGGACUUCGCCCAAGAUGAACCGACCUUUUCCACCUCUUUUCCACGGGAUGUCUUCAGAUGUUGGACCUUGCCAAACUGUACACAUGCCUCAUUGGCUGCUACGUCACUCUGCCCAACAGGACAUGGUCACCAAGAUUUUUUUUUUUUUUUUUUUAAUGGACUUUAACCCCCCCUGUUCCCACUGACCCACAACCACACAUGACAAAACAGUGUACAUGUGAUGCAUCACCACACUAUAAUACAGACACUGCUAAUUUCAGCCUGUUUCAGUCAGUAAAAGAUCGCAAGCUGCAUAACCCAACAGCAUCGAUGUUUGAGUUAUUUAAUUGCUCAAUUUUUAAAUCAGUCAAGAUUUUAUGAGCUGGGUCUUCUUCACACAACAGAGAACAAGGUAAAUUGAGUCGACUCGUAACAUGGCAAGGUAUUUCUUCCUUCCCCUUCUUCUCUGUGUGUGAGGAAAUCUGGCCACAGAUCCUGACUGAGUGGCAUACCAUGGCUGUGCAGUUUCCAAAAUCAGAUAAGGAUCCAUCUGAUUUUGUGACUCUGCCUGUCAUGAUAUGCAUGUAUCUUCCUCUGAAACAAAGGAUUGGAAUGGACAGGUUUUUAGUGUAAAUCACAUCACUUGUAGAUGGUGAUGGUGUACAGACACUGCUACUUUCAGCCUGUAAUGUUUGACAUUGAAAACUUGUAAUUAUUGCCUUCUUUAUAUCAAGUAAAACUUUUGUUCUUAA